rnacentral:rRNA from 1 species
UCCCGGCGGUCCAAGUCGCAUCCACAAUUAUUGGGUCUAAAACAUUCGUAGCUUGCUUUGUAAGUCUCUUGUGAAAUUCCAUAUCUCAAGUAUGGAGCGUGCAAGAGAUACUGCAUUGCUUGAGACCGGAAGACGCAAAGAGUAUGAUUGAGGUAGUGGUAAAAUAUGUUAAUCUUAAUCAGACUAACAAUGGCGAAGGCACUUUGCGAGUACGGAUCUGACAGUGAGGAAUGAAGGCUAGGGGC